CGCUAUCACUCCUCGGGAGGCAGCAGUGGGGAAUAUUGCACAAUGGGGGAAACCCUGAUGCAGCCAUGCCGCGUGUGUGAAGAAGGCCUUCGGGUUGUAAAGCACUUUCAGUCGUGAGGAAGGUAGUGUAGUUAAUAGCUGCAUUAUUUGACGUUAGCGACAGAAGAAGCACCGGCUAACUCCGUGCCAGCAGCCGCGGUAAUACGGAGGGUGCGAGCGUUAAUCGGAAUUACUGGGCGUAAAGCGCAUGCAGGUGGUUUGUUAAGUCAGAUGUGAAAGCCCGGGGCUCAACCUCGGAAUAGCAUUUGAAACUGGCAGACUAGAGUACUGUAGAGGGGGUAGAAUUUCAGGUGUAGCGGUGAAAUGCGUAGAGAUCUGAAGGAAUACCGGUGGCGAAGGCGGCCCCCUGGACAGAUACUGACACUCAGAUGCGAAAGCGUGGGGAGCAAACAGGAUUAGAUACCCUGGUAG
rnacentral:rRNA from 1 species